rnacentral:rRNA from 1 species
AUUAAUAAAAUUAUAAAUAAUUAUUAUAAAUAAAAUAUUUUUUUGUUUAAUUAUUAAUAAAAAAAAAAUUAAUUCAAUUAUAGUUAAAAGUAUUGUGAUAGAAUUUUUAAAUAUAUUAAUUAUUAAAAUAUUUAAAAGAAAAAUUUAAUUUUUGUACCUUGUGUAUCAGGGUUUAUCAAUAAAUUUUUAUAUAUGUAAAUUUCUCGAUUUUAAAAGAUUUAAAUAUUUAUUUUUUUUAAUGUUAAAUAAUUAUUAUUAAUAAAUAUUUAGUAAUGAAAUGUUAUUCGUUUUUAAAUAUAUCUAGUUUCUUAAGAAAUAAAUUUAAUUUGUUUGUUAAUAUAAAUAAAUUUUAUUUGUAAAUUUAAUUUUAUUAAUAAAAAAUAUUUUAAGGGAUAAGCUUUAAAAUAGAUUUAUAUAAUAUUUAAUUUUUAAAUUAAAUGUAGGAUUAAAAAUUUUUUUCAUUAAUAAUUUGUUAUAAUUAAUUUUUAAAAAUAUUUUUUAUAAGUAUUUAUAUUUUUUAUUAAGAUUAUUUAUUUAAUUUUUAUUUAUAUAAAAUAAUGAUAAAAUUAGUAUAUUUUAUUUUAAUUAUAAUUUAAUAUUUAAAGGUUAAGUUAAGGAAUUCGGCAAAAAUUAUUUUUCGCCUGUUUAAUAAAAACAUGUCUUUUUGAUUAUAAUUUAAAGUCUGACCUGCCCUAUGAAUUUUUAAAUGGCCGCGGUAUUUUGACCGUGCAAAGGUAGCAUAAUCAUUAGUUUUUUAAUUGAAAGCUAGAAUGAAAGGUUGGACGAGAAAAUGACUGUCUCAAUUUAAUUUAAUUAGAAUUUUAUUUUUAAGUUAAAAAGCUUAAAUUUUUUUAGAAGACGAGAAGACCCUAUAGAGUUUAAUAUUUAUAUAUUUUUAAAUUUUUAUAAUUUAAUUAAUUUAUUUAAAUAUUUUGUUGGGGUGAUAAAUAAAUUUAAUUAACUUUAUUUUUUUUUUACAUUAAUUUAUGAAAAUUUGAUCCAUUUUUAAUGAUUAUAAGAUUAAAUUACCUUAGGGAUAACAGCGUAAUUUUUUUAGAGAGUUCAAAUCGAAAAAAAAGAUUGCGACCUCGAUGUUGGAUUAAAGUUAAUUUUUGGUGUAGAAGCUAAAAUAUUAAGUCUGUUCGACUUUUAAAACUUUACAUGAUCUGAGUUUAAACCGGCGUGAGCCAGGUUGGUUUCUAUCUUUAAAAUAAUAAAAUAUUUUAGUACGAAAGGACCAAGUAUUUGUAAUAAUUAUUUAUAAUAUGAAUAUUAUU